UUGUUUUCUUGGGGCUUUCUCAGGAGCACUCAGAAUUCUCUCAUGACUUCAUUCCUGGAGUGUGUUCUGACACACUGCACAGGUUUCUCUUAGUGCUUGAGAUACUCCAGAUGUUCUGAGCGUUGCUGGCCCAGCCCGGGCUUUCUCCACCGCUGGUGUCUUUGCAUCUGUCCUUCUCUCCACCUAGGCAACUUAUUACAUGAUGCUUUGCCUGGAUAACUCCCUCUCCAGGCCUCUGAUCAGAUCACACCGGCACAGGGGCAGUUUGGGCCUCCCAAGUUAACCUAGCUCUGUUAAUCUUUUACGACAAGCAUUAUACUUUAACUCCAUGUAUGUGUCUUUCCCUGGAAGAUCCGAGCACAGCUGAGUUCAUGACUUUUUUGCUCAGUCAUGUACUAUACAUUCCGCACCUAGCACUGAGGAGGGGGAGAGAGAGAGUUCUAGAAGGCCUCACACAAAGCUUUAGAAUAUCCACACAGGAAAAAAACAAGUUGGCAGAGAGGAAGGCUGGAAGCUAUUCCCUCCCUACCCACUGAGGCCACCUAAUGCCAGCCAGGCCCAGAGAUAACCCCAGCGUCCAAGUGUGACUGUGAAUCUUUGUGAUACUAAAACACACACCUGAGGGUGGAGACUUAAAUGGAGACACACAACGCAUGAAGUUGUAUGAAGAACUACGUGUAACAAAGCAUGUGAAGAAAAGUCUGCGAUAUAUAAAUGAGUCCCCAAAGCCCAUGCUAAGACUAGAAAAAGAAGUCGGAAAGAGGACAACGGUGUGGGGACACACGUAUGGUCAGCAAGCCUGUCCUUUGAUGAGGGAAUUGCCUGGCCGAGCGGGAAUGUCCACAGAUUAGAACUCUGUGGUUCACUGACUGACCUCCAUGGGCUCUGCAGGCCCUGGUGCUUGUUUGAGCUUACACACAGUACCCGGAGAGAGGAUGCAGAAGUACCCCAGCAGCCCUGGUGACAUCUGGAAUGUGUCGUGUCUAACGUGGCAGCCACAGCAGUGUCUACAGGAGGUUAGCCAAGCUGGCUUGACUGCAGUAGGAAUCCUCAAGUGACCUUGAAAGGCAAAGAGACACAAGAAGAGGCAGUCUAACGAAGGAGGGUCCAAGAAUAAACAACCUUUCACCUACUAAAGCGGUCACCUUGUUAUGAAAAAUACCAGACAGCCAGAAAACUGUGUUAACAUCAUAAUAAAUGCCACCGGUCCAAACCCGGCCCCAACAAACACCAUCCUAUGGCCAUGCUUCUCUAUCUUCACAUCUCAUGUCAGUAUCGUUUCAUCUGUAACUCUUCCAAUGUGUCUCUAAGACAAGCAUUUUAAAACAGACACACUUAUAAUCCCAGUAAGACUAUGACAUUAAAACUGAGUUAAUACAGGGAGAUGAACAUCCUCCCUAGAAUAUGAAGGACCUAUCUCUAGGGUCUCUCUCAUAUUCAGUUGGUGUUUGAA